rnacentral:rRNA from 1 species
UUUCCAGACUCCUACGGGAGGCAGCAGUGGGGAAUAUUGCACAAUGGGGGAAACCCUGAUGCAGCGACGCCGCGUGAGCGAUGAAGUAUUUCGGUAUGUAAAUCUCUAUCAGCAGGGAAGAAAAUGACGGUACCUGACUAAGAAGCCCCGGCUAACUACGUGCCAGCAGCCGCGGUAAUACGUAGGGGGCAAGCGUUAUCCGGAUUUACUGGGUGUAAAGGGAGCGUAGACGGUUCUGCAAGCCAGAUGUGAAAGCCCGGGGCUCAACCCCGGGACUGCAUUUGGAACUGUAAGGCUAGAGUGUCGGAGAGGCAGGCGGAAUUCCUAGUGUAGCGGUGAAAUGCGUAGAUAUUAGGAGGAACACCAGUGGCGAAGGCGGCCUGCUGGACGACAACUGACGGCGAGGCGCGAAAGCGUGGGGAGCAAACAGGAUUAGAUACCCUUGUAU